AUUGCGAAGGCAGCUUUCUGGAUCAUUACUGACACUGAGGAACGAAAGCAUGGGUAGCGAAGAGGAUUAGAUACCCUCGUAGUCCAUGCCGUAAACGAUGUGUGUUAGACGUUGGAAAUUUAUUUUCAGUGUAGCAGUGAAAGCGAUAAACACACCGCCUGGGGAGUACGACCGCAAGGUUAAAACUCAAAUGAAUUGACGGGGACCCGCACAAGUAGUGGAGCAUGUGGUUUAAUUCGAAGAUACGCGCAGAACCUUACCAACACUUGACAUGUUCGUCGCGACUUUAAGAGAUUAAAGUUUUCGGUUCGGCCGGACGAAACACAGGUGCUGCAUGGCUGUCGUCAGCUCGUGUCGUGAGAUGUUGGGUUAAGUCCCGCAACGAGCGCAACCCUCACUUUUAGUUGCCAUCAUUUAGUUGGGCACUCUGAAAGAACUGCCAGUGAUAAGCUGGAGGAAGGUGGGGAUGACGUCAAGUCCUCAUGGCCCUUACGUGUUGGGCUACACACGUGCUACAAUGGUAUAUACAACAGGAAGCAAGACGGCGACGUUAAGCAAAUCCUCAAAAGAUACCUCAGUUCGGAUUGCACUCUGCAACUCGAGUGCAUGAAGCUGGAAUUACUAGUAAUCGUGGAUCAGCGUGCCACGGUGAAUGCGUUCCCGGGUCUUGUACACACCGCCCGUCACACCAUGGGAGUUGGUUCUACCUUAAGGCAAGGUUUAAAACCCUUGACCACGGUAUAGUCAGCGACUGGGGUGAAGUCGUAACAAGGUAACC
rnacentral:rRNA from 1 species